ensembl:snRNA U5 U5 spliceosomal RNA
UCACUCUUGUUUUUCUUCAGAUCGUAAAUAUCUUUCGCAUUUUACUAAAGAUUUCCGUGGAGAGGCACAACAAGAGUAUUUUCCUAAUUUAUUGUUGCCCUGCGAAUGUCAGAGCG